UCUGAGAGGAACAGGAAUCCCUCUGGGCUUGGGGAGACCUAUAAGGUCUGAAGAAGCCUAGCUUCUGGUCACUCUUGUGCCUUCCGUGGGUUACACAGUGUUGGGAGCCAGUGGAGAUUGGGGACAGAGACUGGUUUCUCCCAAGUCCUCCCUGCCCUAAUUUUCCCCUCCUCCAUCUGUGGUAAUGUAAAUAUAACAGAAAUAUCCUACAUUCUAUGAGGCUGGUACUUUUGCUGAAUCUCACAGCCAGAGUUAGUAAUACACCCCGAAGGCUGUAAAAAAAACCACCUAAAAACCGAAGGCUGUUGUCCUAUUGUGUACCCAGCCUGUUUGUUUAACCCGCCUUCCAGAGAACAGUGUAACAACCAACACUACUUGCCUUGUAUUUUCCAUGGGAUCGACUUUUAUAACACAAGCUACUGCUUAGCUGUAAUCCUAAAUUGUGUACUCUCUUCCACAACCCCGACCCAGAACAACGCAUGCAUAUCAUUUCCUGAAGGCAGCAAACACAGACGUUGAAAGCAACUGCCCAAAUUCUACCGCAAAGGUUGAAAACAUCCAUUUGUGGUUCUGAGUCGAUCAACAACGAUGUCUAUAGUACUGUCUGUUGUCUGGGUCAGUGGGGAUCAUUUAGAACCAGUGACUUAGUCCCUUGUAAAACUCUGUCAACGAUUUCUGUAAAAUAGCCCAUUUCUUGCCCCCACGUGAUGCUUCUUUCUAUGCUAUUCAACAGAGACAGAACAAAGCCCUUUGUGAGGGACAGGCACACACAAUCACGUGACAGAGGCACAAGACAGACACGCACAGAAGAUAGUCACACACAGGGACAGACUGAUUCCCAGGACAGCCUCAGGCAGACAUUGAUUCAGACUCCUGCAACAGACAGAGGAUGGAUGAGACAAGGAGCAUGGAGCAGAGGAUUCCAAUCUGGACUCGAUUUUGGUUAACUGACUCCAAGGAGAAGCGCUUUAUUCCUUCCCUUCAUGUGACACUGAUGCAUUGUGGGUAACUCAGAGUUAGUCACCAGUGUGCAUAAUCUCCACAACAGCCCGGAGCUUUUCUCAGGUUUCAUGUAUCCCAGAACGGCAUUAGACUCUCAGUGAUGCUCCAGCUUCCACCUCCUGAAUCCUGGGAUUACAGGUGGACCUAUAACAUGUGAAAAGUUGGGAGCUCUGUUACUAAGAAGGGAGACUAGAACACAGGAACCAGCCUUCGCUGUCACGGACCUCCUCCUGUGUCUACAUGCUCAGUGAACUCUCCGAUGAUGGGACACAGCCACUCAAGAGAUUCUCUGUCAUUUGUUGUCAUUCUGCUUCACUGGCAGCCCCUGAAGGCUGAGGAUCUUGUCUGUGGCUUCCUUGGUGAUCUGUGGCACUUCACGUGCCUGGAAAGGAAAAGGGGUUCCAGCAGAAUUUGAUAAACAAGACACCUUUGGGGGGGAAAAAAACCCUGAGAUGAAGGAGGGGACUCAGGACAGUGUUCCUGUGACUAUUCCCACUCUGAGUGUGUGUGUGUGUUUAAACUCGAAGACAAUUUAAUUAGUGUCUAAACAUAAAACAACAGGCAAGCUGGAGAUCUUGGCUGCUGCCAGGAGGGUGAGGCUGGAUUAGAGAAAGAGAAAGUCAGAGUUUUGAAUGAGAGGCCAAGAAGCCAGCUGCCAGGAGUGGAUGUGAGGGGAGGGAAGGAGGGAGGGAGAGACAGAGAGAGAGAGAGAGAGAGAGAGAGAGAGAGAAUGAAUGAAUGUUAAGAGUGUCAGAGCAAGCAUAGGGUUUUGCCUAUUGUCUGAAAAUGGGAAGGGGAACUGCAGGGUGAUUAGCAGUGACUCGGGGGUGGGGGAGGAGUGGGCGGGUUUAGUAGUGAAGGUCUGCAAGCAGCUACCACCAGGGAGAGGAUUCUGUAACAUGUAGGUCCACAGCUCAUUAAGGGGAUGGUCAUUCAUCCCUUCAAGAGAAGCUGCUUUGGGAAAAAAUAGUUUUGUCCUACGGGGGAAAAAAGGAACAGCAGUUGUAAUAAAAACCA